rnacentral:rRNA from 1 species
GUCUUUUUGAAUUUAAUAAAAAGUCUAGCCUGCUCAAUGAUUUUAAAUAGCCGCGGUAUUUUGACCGUGCGAAGGUAGCAUAAUAAAUAGUCUAUUAAAUGUGGUCUGGAAUGAAAGGUUGAACGAAGAAUAACUUUUUUAAUAUUAUAGUUGAAUUUGAAUUAUUAGUAAAAAUGCUAAUUUGUAUAAGAGGGACGAGAAGACCCUAUAGAGCUUUAUAUAUAAAAAAUUUUUGAUAGGAUUUUUUACAAUAUUUUGUUGGGGCGACAUAUAAUAUAAACAUUAAUUUUUAUUUCUUAUUUAUAGGUUUAAUGAUCCAUUAAUAAUGAUUAUAGGCUAAGUUACCUUAGGGAUAACAGCGUAAUUUUGUUGUAGAGUUCUUAUCGAUAACAAAGUUUGCGACCUCGAUGUUGGAUUAGAAUUCCUUUAAGGCGCAGGAGUUUUUUUAGGUAGUCUGUUCGACUAUUAAAAUUCUACAUGAUCU